GUUCGUUAUAGCCUUCAUCUUAUUAUAUUAAAGGUUACUCCCUUGUUCGUUAUGGCCUUCAUCUUAUUAUAUUAAAGGUUACUCCCUUGUUCGUUAUAGCCUUCAUCUUAUUAUAUUAAAGGUUACUCCCUUGUUCGUUAUAGCCUUCAUCUUAUUAUAUUAAAGGUUACUCCCUUGUUCGUUAUAGCCUUCAUCUUAUUAUAUUAAAGGUUACUCCCUUGUUCGUUAUGGCCUUCAUCUUAUUAUAUUAAAGGUUACUCCCUUGUUCGUUAUAGCCUUCAUCUUAUUAUAUUAAAGGUUACUCCCUGUUUUGUUCUUCGCUCAUUUUCCGUUUUUUCCACUGCAAGUGUGCAUAUUUAUUUAUUUAUUUAUUUAUUUUCAUUUGUUUAUUUAAUGUUAUUUGUAGUAGAUAACUGAGGGGGGCACUACCCUGGCCUCCUCUUCCUCUGAUUCUCUUACUUCACACAUUUAUCUUAAUACUUCACACUAUUGUCCAUAUGCUUAAUUUUUAUUUUUUUAUUCAUGACUUUUUAUCCAUAGCUCACACUUUUCUUAGUAUUUCACAUUUUUUCUAGAUCAUACUCUACACUUCCUACCUGGGGGACGCGGGUUAGGCCUUUAUAAUGUCACUCUAUGGCUGCAUGUCCGCCGCGGCACACCACCACCCUGUGAGGCGUAGAGCCCCGUGUUCCCCUCCAUCCUGGGGUAACAAUCCUAAAACAAACAAACCUGAGAGGCGGGACGCUGCCGCUGCCUGUCACCUGACACCCUCUCACUGAUGAAUGGAUCGCGGCGCGGGUGGAGAGAGACUGCCCAUCCCUUUCCACUCCGCCCGGGAAGGAACUCAUGAAUUCUCGGUUGAGUCGCGUGUGCUACCCAUUGCACUACAGAACAACAGUGGUUGGCCAGAGUUUCCAUUACCAUAUCGUCAAAGUCCAUGUCCUCCGGAAGAACCAUUAAUUAUAUAAUUAAAUCGUCACUAUUAUUUCCGCCACUUAAAACGAGCAAAGCUUAAUGAAAAUAAGAGGCGUUUUCUCGUCAGAGUAAAUUAAACAAAAGCACUGUAAGCACAUGUCCCUAUUUAUCCCUAUACCGCUGCCGCCAGUUUUGGACCCUUCUUUUCUUGUAUUAAAUCAACUCUAUUAUCACUCAUUAAUUACUCCAUAAAUGAUCUCACCGUCUCGUAUCCCUGGUAGCGUGAUCCGGCUUAAGUUGUUAUUGGAGACUGGUGUUCGGGGAUAAACAAGGGAAAAAGAAAAUAUACAUUUAUUUAAAAUUAAAUGAAAGUAAUUGCCUUACGCAAUAUUCUAUGCUCAGACGAUCAUAACCCUGGCAUAUUCAGCAAUGGAUACAACAUAUGACAAACGACAUGUCUUUAAACAUAAUACUACAAUUUGUGCUCAGUUGUUGCCAAUAAUAAUAACACUCGUCAUUCCACAAGCAGUGGUUUGUUUCUCUCUGCUUACAUCACAAUAUUUAAAUACUCUCCUCACAUCCUGAUAACACAUUCCUAUAGUAUAAUCUACUACAAUUUCACGGAAGCACCAAAUUAUACCACACCCAGUGCUUUCUACCUUUGCUUUACAUCGCAAACAAAUAAUCACAAUCCUGUCCCACUCACAAUCCUACUUCACAUCUCCUACAUUAUAAUCUCCAGGACAAUACAGUCGGUUUCCCUUAGAUUCUCGAAUUUCUACUCACGAUUAAGAUCACAACAGCCAUUCUCAGCUGAGUGAGUAGCAAGUCUGCUUGAAGCGAGUGCAAGGCUCGGUCUGCCCAUAUCACUGUUGUCUAGGUCACAUUUUUCCUUGCUUGAGGCGGAACUACAUCUUUGACACGCCUUCAUUUUCUACAUAACCAGUAGCCAAUACUUCCUGUCAACAACCAUUGGCUCGCUCAUUAUGUUAUAUUGUUUACUUCUCCUACUAUUUGUUAUUUCCCUCUUAAGACACUCCCACAGUGACUUCUCUUUUCAGUUAUUCGCUUAUAGCAUUUCGUCACACCGCACGUGACAUGUUAGAGUCCUCUUGAAUGGUUAUCCACACUUCCUGACCACGCCUACUGGGUAUCUGCUUUCUGUAUGUGGGUCUGGGUAUUUUCCAUAACCUCUCAGUAGUGUUAGUGCUUAUCAGAUGUUUACAACUUUGUAUAUCUGACUAAUUUCUUUCCUUCCCUCUCCUAUCAUAUUUACAAUUCUUGUC